rnacentral:misc_RNA from 1 species
GUAACAAGGUUUCCGUAGGUGAACCUGCGGAAGGAUCAUUACAGAAAUAGGAGAAGGUUGCUUAACUGCAAUCCUUUUCUUUCUACACAUGUGUUUUUCUUUUUUUUGAAAACUUUGCUUUGGUGGGCCCACGGCCUGCCAGAGAUUAAACUCAACCAAAUUUUUAUUUAAUUGUCAACUUGAUUAACUAAUAGUCAAAACUUUCAACAACGGAUCUCUUGGUUCUCGCAUCGAUGAAGAACGCAGCGAAAUGCGAUAAGUAAUAUGAAUUGCAGAUAUUCGUGAAUCAUCGAAUCUUUGAACGCACAUUGCGCCCUUUGGUAUUCCAAAGGGCAUGCCUGUUUGAGCGUCAUUUCUCCCUCAAACCUUCGGGUUUGGUGUUGAGCGAUACGCUGGGUUUGCUUGAAAGAAAGGCGGAGUAUAAACUAAUGGAUAGGUUUUUUUUUUCCACUCAUUGGUACAAACUCCAAACAUUCUUCCAAAUUCGACCUCAAAUCAGGUAGGACUACCCGCUGAACUUAAGCAUAUCAAUAA